rfam:Desulfosporosinus orientis DSM 765, complete genome.
UGCUCAGACUCCAAUAUUGUGGAUGAGCAAGCAGGUAUUGAAGCAGCCAUGUCCAUUGCUAUGACUGCUCUUUCCGGACCUAACCUUAACCAUGAUGUGG